UUUUUUUUUGUCUGCUAGAGAAGACGAACAGCUCUUCGUGAAGAUAAACAGCUCUUCAACAAGUAGUAAUUUAAUGGGGGAUUCACAACAAGGAAAUAACAAAGGAAAGGGCAAAGAGAAAGAGAACUAUGAAUCUUGGACCAUGGACGAUACCAAUGAGUUGUUGCAUUCAAUACCAAAUUUGGAUGACAAUACUUGUUUCAUGGCGGGUGAAUUGCUUAGUAAUAAAGCAAAGAAAGACUUGUUCUUGAAGAUGUCAUUAGAAGAGCGCUCAUCUUGGAUAAAAUUCAAGUUAGGAUGAUUUUAGUAUUUUGAUCAUAUUGGGUUUUGUUGAACUAUAUUUUUGUUUGUGCUAUUUUGCUUCUACUUUGGUUGAACUAUUUCGUACUUUGGUUAAACUAUUUGGGUACUUUGGUUGAACUAUUUGGGUUAUAAUUUGGUUGAACCAUUGUUAUUGUAAUUUGGUUGAACUAUUGUUAUUGUAAUUUGGUUAAACUAUUUUCACAGCUUUUACUUUUUUAUUUGGUUAAACUAUUUGGACAGCUUUUACUU